rnacentral:rRNA from 1 species
AUUGAACGCUGGCGGCAGGCCUAACACAUGCAAGUCGAGCGAGCGGCGGCCGGGUGAGUAAUGUAUGGGGACUGCCCGAUGGAGGGGGAUAACUACUGGAAACGAUGGCUAAUACCGCAUACUGGCGGAUAACCCAAAUGGGCUUAGCUAGUAGGGAAGGUAAUGGCUUACCUAGGCGACGCUCCCUAGCUGGUCUGAGAGUAUGAUCAGCCACACUGGGACUGAGACACGGCCCAGACUCCUACGGAGGCAGCAGUGGGGAAUAUUGCACAAUGGGCGAAAGUCUGAUGCAGCCAUGCCGCGUGUAUGAAGAAGGCCCUAGGGUUGUAAAGGACUUUCAGUCGGGAGGCGUGACCGACAGAAGAAGCACCGGCUAACUACGUGCCAGCAGCCGCGGUAAUAC